rnacentral:rRNA from 1 species
CGCCUGGGGAGUACGGGUGAGGUAACGGCUCACCAAGGCAUCGACGGGUAGCUGGUCUGAGAGGAUGAUCAGCCACACUGGGACUGAGACACGGCCCAGACUCCUACGGGAGGCAGCAGUAGGGAAUAUUGCACAAUGGGCGAAAGCCUGAUGCAGCAACGCCGCGUGCGGGAAGAAGGCCCUAGGGUUGUAAACCGCUUUCAGCAGGGAAGAAAAUGACGGUACCUGUAGAAGAAGGUGCGGCCAACUACGUGCCAGCAGCCGCGGUGACACGUAGGCACCAAGCGUUGUCCGGAUUUAUUGGGCGUAAAGAGCUCGUAGGCGGUUCAGUAAGUCGGGUGUGAAAACUCUGGGCUCAACCCAGAGACGCCGCCCGAUACUGCUGUGACUAGAGUGCGGUAGGGGAGCGGGGAAUUCCUAGUGUAGCGGUGAAAUGCGCAGAUAUUAGGAGGAACACCAGUGGCGAAGGCGCCGCUCUGGGCCGUAACUGACGCUGAGGAGCGAAAGCGUGGGUAGCAAACAGGAUUAGAUACCCUGGUAGUCCACGCCGUAAACGUUGGGCACUAGGUGUGGGUCUCAACCAACGAGAUCCGCGCCGUCGCUAACGCAUUAAGUGCCCCGCCUGGGGAGUACGG